rnacentral:rRNA from 1 species
UACGGAGGGUGCAAGCGUUAUCCGGAUUCACUGGGUUUAAAGGGUGCGUAGGUGGGUCUGUAAGUCAGUGGUGAAAUCUCUGAGCUUAACUCAGAAACUGCCAUGGAUACUAUUUGUCUUGAAUAUUGUGGAGGUGAGCGGAAUAUGUCAUGUAGCGGUGAAAUGCUUAGAUAUGACAUAGAACACCAAUUGCGAAGGCAGCUCACUACACAGUUAUUGACGCUGAGGCACGAAAGCGUGGGGAUCAAACAGGA